rnacentral:tRNA from 1 species
GGAGGCACUGUGGCUCAGAGGAGGAGCAUUUGUUUGGCAUUCAGAAGGUCCCAGGUUCAGUCCCUGGCAUCUCCA